rnacentral:misc_RNA from 1 species
CCAAGGUAGGAUUGAUGAUUAGGGUGAAGUCGUAACAAGGUAUCCGUACGAGAACGUGCGGAUGGAUCACCUCCUUUCUAUGGAGUUAAUACUUUAUAGUAAUUAACUAGUUUUAAUGACCGUUAUGUUUAGUUUUCAGAGAUUAGUUUCUCUGACAAUAGCAAAUAAAUGUUAUUGGAAUUGUUCUUUGAAAACUGGAUAAUAGACAUCUAGUUAUUUUAAUCAAGUGAUUAAAAUAACAAUAAUUCAAAAUUUCUGUUAUUUUUUAAAAAUAACUAAAAUUUCACAGUUAUAUUUGUAAAUAAUUCUCAAAAACUGAUUUAAAAUCAUGUCAAAUAAUUUAUAAAACUUUGAAGUUACAAAGGG